rnacentral:misc_RNA from 1 species
UAGAGUUUUAAAUCUUUGACAAUAGUUGUUAUAAACCUUGAGGCAAGGUUGAAGGCAUUAUGGAAUAAUGGAAAAAACCAUAGUUCUCAUUCUCUCUGAGCGUGGUUAUACCAUAUGAAAUUCUAUGCAUAUUUGAGAAUGAUGCCAUAUGAUUUCUUGGGCCAUAUGCAUACUUUUUUGGUUGCCUCCUAGGAUGGUUUUGGAAUAGGAUAAAGAGUAACUGCAAUUUUUUUUCAUGGAUCAGUAUAUUGUUUUUGUUUUUAAUCUGCUUUGCCUGACAGAUGAAAAAGGGGACAUAUGCUAGGGUAAUAGGGACCUUAUUAGGAAUAUGAAAGUGAGGGAGUGCAACCUGUAUUUGUAGACAUUAAAGGCUCCAAGAUUAUUGUGAUCAAGACAAGCAAUUUUUUUUCUGCAGCUUUGGAUUGUGAGACUGAAUUUAACUGAUUUUGGAUCAAGGUGUAGUUGAGUUGAGUACAUGGUUUUUGGCUUGUGAGACAAAAUUUCCUGGACUUAAAUCUUCAAUAAAUGUUACUGUGUUUUUGGCUGGGAACCUGUUGAAGGGAUAAGGAUUUGUUAUAGUGAAAUGUGGCAAGUUUUCUUUGUUGCUAUGCACAAUGCCUAAAUGAUUGGCUGGUCAAACGUGGCUUAGGGCUCUGUUUGUGAACUGGGUCCACCUAAAUGAUUGGCUGGUCAAUGCAGAUACUUGUGAACCAGAUGUUACCCAGUCUAGGUUAGUGAAGCCAAACUUGAUGCAAAUUCAUUGUAAAUUGCUAAACUCAGCUGAAGUUUGGUGAGUUGGACCAAGUUGGCUCAUUCUGAUCAGUUGAGGGGGAAAUGGACCAAAAUAUGAUAGUUGAUAGGGUUUGAAUCUGGUCUUUUAUGGUAGUUUCUCUGGCAAGGCUGAGUGAUGGGCAAAACUCCUGCAAGUUGUCUUCCUCUUGCCUGUCCGAGACUGUCCUGUUUCUUGCUGUUGUGAUACGCCAGGGAAACUCACCUUGCAAUUCGUAAAAUUGUUGUUGAUUCUACUGUCAUAACCUUUUCUUUUUAUUUAUUUUUCAUCAUUUAAUGUAUCUUCUGACCACUACUUGUUUCCAUUCAGGUUGCUAUUCCAGUGGUACCCA